GAAGGGAGGGAAGGGCUAGUGAUUGGAGAAGAUUAGUCACAUAGGUUUAUAGAUAGGGAAUAAUGACGGUGGGUUACUGGCUUUAAGGAGUGCCGUGUGUGGUCAGAUUGUUUUCGCAGGGGAGGGAAGGGAGAGCGGGUUGGCUAGUGAUUGGUGAUGAUUAGCUACAUAGGUCAAUAGACAGGUGAAUUGCUUGUUCUAGGGGCAACUGCUGUGUGUGGACACAGUAUGGUUCCAGAAAUAUGAUAGGAAAUCCACCUCGUUAACGUAAUACGGGGCAUGGAAUAAUGUAGAAGUAGAUUGUUGAUGGUUUUAUAAGUGAAAUGAGAGAUUACGGGUUGAGGAUGAAUAUCGACCCGAUAUCUUGGCAUUUAUUAGUUUUAGUGAAUUAGAAGAGUCAGUCAGCUGUAGUACAUCACAGGUAAAAAUGUGUGAUGCAAUGGUAGUGCUCUUCAAACUGGGCGUGAGUGAGAGACGUCAGCCCAUGAACAGCUUCCUCCACCAUGAAUUUGGUUUAGGGAGAGAUGUAAGCAAAUAUAAGGACCACUCGGGAACUAUUAUUGAUGAUUAAGACCAUCAAUGAGCACCAGGCUUGAGGAAUUAUCUUCACUCACUGCCCCGUCUCUUAGAUAAAGGCAUGAUGGUGCACUGAUUGGAGAUAGUUGCUCUAGCCGGGUGCUCCUUGAUGCUCAUAACCAAUGACAUACUUUCCCCAUCGUCCAGUUGUUUAUAUUCUCUCUACAACGCCUUCACCGAGGAAGCAGCUGUUCACGAGCCUGUCACCUCACACCUCUCCUCAGACUCCUCGUUUGGAAAGCCUGCACGAUUGCAAAGGAUGAGGACAACAACUACACCGCGCGGCUGUUGCAUCAGAUGUAUGCUGAUCCUGCAAAUAAGGCGUACCUGGCGUUCCUGCAGCCUCUAGUAGCUCAGGUCAACAGGGUCAAUAAGUUAUUUGAGUCUGACCACUGCAACGUCAGCAAGCUGCUGGAGGAGCUCAUGUCUUUGUAUCAGUCUCUUCUGAGCAGACUCAUGUUGCCGCGAACAUUCUCCACUUGGGAAUCCAUCACAAAUUUUGAUGUGGAGAAUGAGCGCAACCACUUGCCACUGGGUGCCGUUGACUUCGGGGUCAAAUUCAACCUUGAAGUGGCACGAACUGACAUGGAGCAACACACCAUCAAUGGGAUGAAGGCAUUCUGUCGCAAGUAUUUAAUGCAGCUCCUCCGAGAGCUUCGAAACAGGCUACCUUCAAAUGUGCAGCUUCUUCACAGUUUAAAUGCUUUGUCUACAGAACGUGUUCUUAGCGGAAGCCAAAGCUCAUAGAGCUGUCAUUCCUGAACAGAUUUUCAGGAGAUAUUAGCAUCCUAGAUGAACAGUGGCAGAGAAUAGGAACUAUUAACUGGCCAAGCGAUCAAACUGUAGAGGAGGAGAAGUUUUAGAUGGCAGUCUACCACCAUCAGGAUGCAGUAGGGGAAAGAGAUUGUAAGGCUUUGGGGAAUUUUGCUCUCUCCAUGCUGUCUUUCGCUUUCAGUAAUGCAUCAGUAGAAAGAGUCUUUUCCCAUAUGAACCUAAUAAAAAAUAAAAUAAGAAACAGAAUGCAGCUGAAAAGCCUCGAAAGCAUAUUGCACAUUCGUGCAUUCAUGCAAAGAAACGGCAUUUGUUACCAAGAAUUUGUUCCCUCACCAUCAAUGUUAGCCCUGUUCACUCAGGACAUAUACCGUAAGGACGCGGACACAGAUCUGGAUUUCUCUGAUA